UUCUCUGGAUUUAUGCGUAUAAAUGGUCUGCGCAAGUCAGAUCGAAGAUCCCUGGAGGAUCGUAGGUGGCACAAGUGUUCUUUCUGGAGCAUCAUUUAGUAUUGUGAUAAUAAUUGUCACAAUAAUAAUAAUAUUAAUAAUAAGAAGAAUAAUGGGGAAAAAUCCGGGUCCCCCUGGAGCUCUGCUGCUCUGCUGAUAAUUAUAAAUAUAAUUUAUUUAUUUAUUUAUCUGUUCUUCCUUGGUGUCGCUUCUUCCCGAGCAUCAUCAUCAUCAUCAUCAUCAUCGGUGGAUGUGACCGGAUUCGAAAAAAAUGUCGCAGUUUCUGGAGCCGCUGGAGCUGUGCUACCGAUCUCUGUGCUCCUGCGGCGAUCGGGCCGUCGCCGACGGCAGCCUGCUCGACUUCCUCCGGCAAGUCUCCACCUUCGGCCUCUCCCUGGUCCGCCUGGACAUCCGGCAAGAGUCCGACCGCCACACCGACGUCAUGACGGCCAUCACGGAGCACUUGGGCAUCGGCUGCUACCGCGACUGGCCGGAGCAGCGCCGCCAGGAAUGGCUCCUCUCGGAGCUCCGCGGGAAGCGCCCCCUCUUCGGGCCCGACCUGCCCAAGACCGCCGAGAUCGCCGACGUCCUCGACACGUUCCACGUCAUCUCCGAG
rnacentral:lncRNA from 1 species